CCUGGGGCCUGGAGCCCAGCCUCGGCUCAGGGACUGGGUGUUAACACGACCAACCCCUGUUGGCUGCCCCACAUCCUCUCCCGCUUCCAUUCCAACCUCAUCUCUUCUGCUUGUUCCAUACAGAAUGGUCUUUUCCAAACACGUGCCUAUAUCGUGGGAACCCCUCCACUCCCUGCCUUAAAACUGCUCAGGGAGUUGGCCUCACCCUACCAGCACUGGCCCCCCGAGUGGCGUGCCCCCCACCCCAAACACCUCUCCAUUUGUGCCCUUCCUCCCUCCAGGACCCCUGCCCCAAGACCUCUUUCCAGACCCUCACACCCUCCAAGCUUCCUCCUGCCCCAGGGCGUUUGUGCAGCUCAGCCCUGUCUGAAAGCCCCCAGUAUACUCCCCCGAUUGGCGACUACCUGUCCUCUAGAUUUCAGCCAGCAUUGACUCCCCAACCCGGAAGGCCAGGUAAGACAGCUGAUGUUCAGAGCAAGCUGAAUUCUGCCCCUGCAGAACACUCAUCCCAUUUUGUCAUGAUGCCUUCACGGGUGGGAAUCUUUGCUGAAUAUAAUCCUCCCUGCUGGCUGGAUGCUUCCUGUGGGCAGGGACCCUCAGCUUCAUUCACUGUUGUGCCCUCAGCUGAGUUCUGUGUCUGGCAUGGAGUAGUGACUCAAUAAUGAAUUUGUUCACAGUCUGUGCUCUGAGUGUCCUUCGAGGUCAAAUGGCUCUCUCUUGCUCAUUGGAGCUUUGGGUCUUUGUUUCCUUCCAGUGACACUAUAGUGACAGCAGCAAGCACUUAAUAGAAGCCGGGGCAUGCGCUGCCCUGAGCCCUGUGCAUCAUCAGUUACCUCCAAGUGGCAGGUCGUGUAGCCACCUGUCAGGUACCACCCUGACCUACUACUCUGCUGCUGAGAAGCCAAAGGGGACAAAGCUGGAACCCGCCUUCACUGUUGGUGGGAAUGUAAAUUGGUGACGCCACUAUGGAAAACAGUGUGGAGGUUCCUCAGUAAAUCUAAAAAUAGAGUUUCUAUAUGAUUCAGCAAUCCCACUCCUGGCAUCUAUCUAGAUGGAAAGAUAACAUGCACCCCGGUGUUCACGGAAGCACUGUUUACCAGAGCCAAGACAUGGAAGCAGCGUAAAUGGCCAUCAGCAAGUGAAAAAGAUAUGGUGCGUAUAUACAGUGGGAUAUCACUCAGCCAAGAAGGAAACAACGCCAUCUGCAGCCACAUGGACGGAUCUGGAGGUGAUCACACUAAGCGAAGUCAGACAGGGGCAAAUGUCGUAUGCUGGCACUGGUAUGUAGAGUCUAAAAUGGACACAACCGAGCCUGUCUAUGAAACAGACUCACAGAGAACAGACUUGGGUUGCCAAGGGGGAGAUGGGUGGGAGAGGCGGGGAGUGGGAGUUUGGGGUUAGCAGAUGCAAGCAAGUAUAUACAGAAUGGAUGAACAGCAAGGUCUUACUGUACAGCACAGGGAACUCAACAUCCUGUGAUAAACCAUUAUGGAAAAGAAUAUGAAAAAGAAUGUGUGUGUGUGUGUCUAUAACUGAAUCAGUCUGCGAUACAGCAGGAAUUAACGCAAUAUUGUAAAUCACCUGUACUUUAAAAACAGGAGGACAAGGCUGGACAUGAAGGUCCCCGGGGCUUGCUCCCAGGUACCCAGCAAAGCCCGCUCCAUUCUCUCUGGCCUCUGAAACCUGGCACACCAGGAUAGGCAUGUUUCCAUUGGGAAAUACUUCCCCUGUGUGAUACUGCAAAACAAGGUAUAUAAAGCUGCGCCGCAGGAACUCAAAACUGAACGUACUUAAGGAAACCAACCUGAGCCAUACAAGUGAGUAAAAACUGGAAACUACAUGAUACUAAAAAUAGUGAUUUCUGCUCUGGGUUUAAUAUGUAAACUCGGAAAAGAAGGUUUCUGCUGAAUGCCUUAUGAAAAACUUUGAAGGCAAGAUAAAUGCUCAAGUUCUAAGACAUAGAACUCAAAUUUCAGUUUAGUUAGAAAUCUUCUCACUGAUACAUAACAUAUAGUUGGACAAAUCAAUCUUUUAGUAUUAUUUAACUGACAGAGUUAUUCUUUGAGGGAAUUAAAAGCAACUGUCUUUCUCUUGCAAAUAUCUACAAACCAGAAUGUAUUACUAAGUACAGGCCACAAAGACCUGAGUCUGAGCAUAAUUAGCUCAAUCGGUUAAGACCUGAAACCAAGGGGGAAAAAAAAAAUAUGACAAAGUGGCAGCUUUAAAGUUCAAACCACUGGGAAUGCUCCCUCAGCCAGACUUCACAAAUAGUAAAGCUUUAGUCAUCUGAGCAAGCAGUUCUAAUGUAUUCCAACUGUUCUUUAUAAAUUAGUAAGUUUAUAUUGUAAUACCAGACUCAUAAUUUUUUUAAAGUGAAUCUGUUGCAGGAUGGGGGACCCCUUCUGAGGCCCAAAACUGGGCUCUUGUCUAACACUCGGAAAUGAAUUGUCCAAGGAGACGCGUGCUGACAAAGCAAGAGAUUUUAUUGGGAAAGGGCACCUGGGCGGAGAGCAGUAGGGUAAGGGCUCGCAGUCUCGGGCUUCAUGGUGAUGGGAUUAGUUUCUGGGUUGUCUUUAGCCAGUCAUUCUGACUCAGAGCCUUUCCUGGUGGUGCACGGCUUGUUCAGCCAAGAUGGAUGCCAGAGAGGAGGAUUCUGGGAGGUGGUCAGACAUGUGG
ensembl:lncRNA